rnacentral:rRNA from 1 species
AUUGAACGCUGGCGGCAUGCCUUACACAUGCAAGUCGAACGGCAGCGGACCUUCGGGUGCCGGCGAGUGGCGAACGGGUGAGUAAUAUAUCGGAACGUACCUUUCAGUGGGGGAUAACGUAGCGAAAGUUACGCUAAUACCGCAUAUUCUGUGAGCAGGAAAGCAGGGGAUCGCAAGACCUUGCGCUGAUUGAGCGGCCGAUAUCAGAUUAGCUAGUUGGUGAGGUAAAGGCUCACCAAGGCGACGAUCCGUAGCGGGUCUGAGAGGAUGAUCCGCCACACUGGAACUGAGACACGGUCCAGACUCCUACGGGAGGCAGCAGUGGGGAAUCUUAGACAAUGGGGGAAACCCUGAUCUAGCCAUGCCGCGUGAGCGAUGAAGGCCUUAGGGUUGUAAAGCUCUUUCAGCUGGGAAGAUAAUGACGGUACCAGCAGAACGAAGCCCCGGCUAACUCCGUGCCAGCAGCCGCGGUAAAGUGUG